GACGAACGCUGGCGGCGUGCCUAAUACAUGCAAGUUGAGCGCUGAAGGUUGGUACUUGUACCAACUGGAUGAGCAGCGAACGGGUGAGUAACGCGUGGGGAAUCUGCCUUUGAGCGGGGGACAACAUUUGGAAACGAAUGCUAAUACCGCAUAAAAACUUUAAACACAAGUUUUAAGUUUGAAAGAUGCAAUUGCAUCACUCAAAGAUGAUCCCGCGUUGUAUUAGCUAGUUGGUGAGGUAAAGGCUCACCAAGGCGAUGAUACAUAGCCGACCUGAGAGGGUGAUCGGCCACAUUGGGACCGAGACACGGCCCAAACUCCUACGGGAGGCAGCAGUAGGGAAUCUUCGGCAAUGGACGAAAGUCUGACCGAGCAACGCCGCGUGAGUGAAGAAGGUUUUCGGAUCGUAAAACUCUGUUGGUAGAGAAGAACGUUGGUGAGAGUGGAAAGC
rnacentral:rRNA from 1 species